AUGGAAGGUUUGGCUUCGGCUCGUGGAAAUGGGGAAGCGCCGAUGUGCCGGGGCCGCCUUCCCCUGCAGCCCCGCGGGCCGGGGGAGGCUGCGGGCUGCCGGGGGCUGCGGGCCGCCCGGCACCGGGGGGUGCCCUCGUCGAGGAGCCCUCGGUGGCCGAACCGGGAGGAGGAGGAGGAGGAGGAGGAGGAGGAGGAGGAAGGGGGAUACCCGGCGGAGCUCCCCCUCGCUCUGCNNNNNNNNNNNNNNNNNNNNGCUGCCGGCUCCGCGCCGCCCUCCCGGCCCCGCUCCCCUCCGCGCCGCCAUUGGCCGCGCCCCGCCGCCAGUCACUGUCAGGUAGCGCCUCCCGCCCGCCCACCGCGGGGCCGCCCAGGUGCGCCCCGGCCGGGGCCGCCGCCGCUUCACGGCCCUGCCGCAGCGCCCCGCAGCGGGGGCUCUGGGGGCUCGGUGUGUGGGGGGGGACCCCGCCGCCCCCCCUCGUCCCUGCGGGUGCCCCGAAGGCAGGCUUCGUGCCUCUGCCGGCAGCCCCCAGCCCCGCGGUGGGCGCCGCGUAGGGCUUGUUGGUGCGUGUUUGGCGAGGAGGAGCUCGUUUUUGGGGCUGAGCGGUUCCGGUUGGGUUUUUGCGCUGUGGGGUUUAAUUACAGAGGAAAAACGGGGCGCGCCUCAUCGGGGAGAGGGGUAUUUAGAGAGCUCUUGUUGAACAACGCCUGUGUAGGUGAGCCAAGAAGCCAGAGACACCUUGCCCGGCUCCCCGUUUCCCUCCGGGGUGACGUUCGAGUUGCUUGGUUAGCAGAUAUUAUUGCUUCAGAAAGCCACAAAGAAAAUAACAUGGCAGUUAUGACACAUAUUCUCAGCUUUGAUUUGCCUGGCAGUUCUAGGGGAUGUUUGGUUGGCCGUCCUUGUGGUAUUUUCCCUGAACAUGAGAAGGCAUCGUACGUGACUGGCCUUCAGUACGACGGCGUGAGUCUUGUUCCAACAGCCGUGGUGAGCUCCUUGUGGUGCCACCAUCCUCUGGUCCCAUGA
rnacentral:lncRNA from 1 species